UCUACCAAAGGAUAGUAGUAUUCC
rnacentral:tRNA from 1 species